rnacentral:tRNA from 1 species
GGCGGAUGUAGCCAAGUGGAUCAAUGCAGUGGAUUUGUGAA